rnacentral:rRNA from 1 species
CAGCCGCCGCGGGAAUACGUAGGUCCCGAGCGUUGUCCGGAUUUAUUGGGCGUAAAGGGAGCGCAGGCGGUUUAGUAAGUCUGAAGUUAAAGGCAUUGGCUCAACCAAUGUAUGCUUUGGAAACUGUUAGACUUGAGUGCAGAAGGGGAGAGCGGAAUUCCAUGUGUAGCGGUGAAAUGCGUAGAUAUAUGGAGGAACACCGGUGGCGAAAGCGGCUCUCUGGUCUGUCACUGACGCUGAGGCUCGAAAGCGUGGGUAGCGAACAGGAUUAGAUACCCCAGUAGUCCCUGUCUCUUAUACA